CUCUAAUGACUGCGUAAUAAAAACCACAUGGCUGAACAGUCACACACGGAGCACCGCUGCUUUACUGUGGCUCACUGAGGUACUGAGCUACUGAGGUACUGAGCUACUGAUGUACUGAGCUACUGAGGCACUAAGUUACCAGGAUACUGAUUUACUUUCACUCUGAGCUACUGAGGCACUAAAAUACUGAUGUGCUGAGGUACUGAGGUACUGAAAUACUGAAAUACUGAGCUACUGAGGGACUAAAAUACUGAUGUGCUGAGGUACUGAAAUACUGAGGCACUAAAAUACUGAUGUGC
ensembl:lncRNA